rnacentral:rRNA from 1 species
AACGAACGCUGGCGGCAUGCCUAACACAUGCAAGUCGAACGAGACCUUCGGGUCUAGUGGCGCACGGGUGCGUAACGCGUGGGAACCUGCCCUUAGGUUCGGAAUAACUCCCCGAAAGGGGUGCUAAUACCGGAUAAUGUCUUCGGACCAAAGAUUUAUCGCCUUUGGAUGGGCCCGCGUUGGAUUAGCUAGUUGGUAGGGUAAAAGCCUACCAAGGCGACGAUCCAUAGCUGGUCUGAGAGGCUGAGCAGCCACACUGGGACUGAGACACGGCCCAGACUCCUACGGGAGGCAGCAGUGGGGAAUAUUGGACAAUGGGCGAAAGCCUGAUCCAGCAAUGCCGCGUGAGUGAUGAAGGCCUUAGGGUUGUAAAGCUCUUUUACCCGGGAUGAUAAUGACAGUACCGGGAGAAUAAGCGCCGGCUAACUCCGUG